rnacentral:lncRNA from 1 species
AGCAAACAACAACUUCAUGCUUCAAGGACAUGAAGAGAAACAAAGAGAAGCAGAGACGAAGGAGUCUUCUUCAUCACUGAAGCUACCAUGUGGAGUCUUGCCAUUACCAGAGCUGCAAUUACCUAAACAAGGAUUAGAAUGGGGACAAGACCAGUUCUUGAGUAUAAGCCCAUGGCUCCAGAAUCUUACCCCAAUUGUUAACCUACUAAAUUUUUAGGAUAUGUAAAAAAAAAAAAACUCCCAACAGAACUAACUAUUCUUCAGUGAUACCUACCCUCCUUCACCUGAGCAAAAAAAAAAAAAAAACCGACCUUCAUCUUCAUUUAGUACUCCAUAGAAAUUUACGUACAUUUACUGAAACAUGCAUAGUAAAGAAAAUAAAUUAAAUCCAAUUUUGUAGUAAGGUGUUUGACAGUUGAAACUUUGAUCAUGAACUUUUCAAGUUAUCUAUUCUUCCAUUUUUCUUUUGUUUUAGAUACUUAACAAAAAUUUCUUGACCACAUAGCCGUAAGUUUUUGAGGUGUUCUGGAUAAUUAGACCGGAAUAGAAAAACUAACGAAACAAUGAAGUCUAUGAAAAACACCCAAAACAGUUAGUUAAGACUAAAAUAUAUACUAUUUUUCUGAAACGGAUGGAAUAUCACUUUAUAUUACCUUAAAAUAAUAGUAUGUAAUUUACAAAGUUAUAUUAUCAAAGGAAAAAAAAGUUUAUUCAUCUUUAAUGCGCUUUUGUCAUAUUGGUUUAUGUUAAUUAGCACUUAGAAGAAGAAGAAAAAUAGAGUUCAAGGUUCUGUCCCACAGAGGAAAAAGACUUCCCGUCUUUUAGAGGAGACUUCGAAAGUCAAGCCUCAGAUUAAACUAAAUGGUGGAAGUCCCACGAUCAAAAUACACUGAUUCUUUUGGGGCACCAAAGCUUCUGGUCCAAAACCUCAAGACCCUUUCUACGAUAAAAGCGCGUGGGCUCCAUUCACUUUGAUCAAGACCUUUCUCUUUCUCAGUAAACAUCACAAACGUCUAAAAGUAUGGACAUUAAGAAGAAACUACUAACACAUUAGAAAAUUGCAAACAUGACUUUCAAAAUUUAAUAUGUUAAAUCCUGCCUCCACAUCUUCCUCUUGACUUGGUCUGCUCCAAUAAAACAUAGCCCCAUGGCCCUCAUCAGACAAAGAAUCUCUCUCAUCACAUAAGGUCUUAGUGUUAUAUAUAAAUAAGCGUUGCACCAUUAGUGAUAUCACCAACAACCUUUUCACUUACAAAGCUUUUAAAGCAACCAAAACUUCGGUAAGCGUCUUUAGAGACAGUGAGAGCUAUGUCAAGAGAGAUUGAGCUUCCAGGUUUCAGAUUCCACCCGACCGAGGAGGAGCUUACUGAUUACUACCUCAAGAACAUGGUUAACGGGAAAUUCUCCAAAGUCGAAGUCAUUGGUUUCCUCAACAUCUAUCGCCAUGAUCCAUGGGACUUGCCACGUAUGUACCAGUAUACUUGCUUUCUUCAUUCAUAUAAAAAUCUUAUUUAUUAAUAAAAAUCUGAAUUGUGAUCACAGUUUUAUCGAAAAUUGGUGAGAGAGAAUGGUAUUUCUUUGUGCCAAGGGAAAGGAAGCAUGGGAACGGAGGGAGACCAAGCAGGACAACUGAGAAAGGAUAUUGGAAAGCAACUGGUUCCGACCGUAAGAUCAUAAGCUUGUCUGAGCCAAAACGUGUGAUUGGGCUCAAGAAGACCCUUGUGUUCUACAGAGGUAGAGCACCAGGUGGAAGCAAGACUGAUUGGGUCAUGAACGAGUACCGUAUGCCUGACAAUUGCACCUUACCAAAGGUACCUUAUAAAAAAACAAAAGCUCUGUUAUCAAGAAACAACUCUUUUUCUCAUCUUGUGUUCUUGUUUGGUCGCAGGACGUUGUGCUGUGUAAGAUAUACAGAAAAGCCACUUCACUUAAAGUGUUGGAGCAAAGAGCAGAGAUGGAAUCUAAGAUGACUCAAACAUGCCCAAACUCUCCUCUCUCGUCUUCGGAGACCAUUUCUUACGUUGGAAAAGAAGAAAACUUGAUGACGACUUCGUUCCCUUUUCCUCAAGCAUCAGCCAUGCAAGAAGCAAACAACAACUUCAUGCUUCAAGGACAUGAAGAGAAACAAAGAGAAGCAGAGACGAAGGAGUCUUCUUCAUCGCUGAAGCUACCAUGUGGAGUCUUGCCAUUACCAGAGCUGCAAUUACCUAAACAAGGAUUAGAAUGGGGACAAGACCAGUUCUUGAGUAUAAGCCCAUGGCUCCAGAAUCUUACCCCAAUUGUUAACCUACUAAAUUUUUAGGAUAUGUAAAAAAAAAAAAACUCCCAACAGAACUAACUAUUCUUCAGUGAUACCUACCCUCCUUCACCUGAGCAAAAAAAAAAAAAAAACCUUGUAAGAUGCUUGGCUUCAGCU